GACGAACGCUGGCGGCGUGCUUAACACAUGCAAGUCGAACGGGUCUGCCCUGUUUUUUGCGGGGUGGGUCAGUGGCGAACGGGUGAGUAACACGUGAGUAACCUGCCCCUCACUUCUGGAUAACCGCUUGAAAGGGUGGCUAAUACGGGGUGUUCUGGCUGUGCCGCAUGGUGUGGCUGGGAAAGAUUCACUUUUGUGGUGUUUUGGUGGGGGAUGGGCUCGCGGCCUAUCAGCUUGUUGGUGGGGUGAUGGCCUGCCAAGGCUUUGACGGGUAGCCGGCCUGGGAGGGUGGGCGGUCACACUGGGGCUGAGGUACGGCCCAGACUCCUGCGGGAGGCAGCAGUGGGGGGUAUUGCACAAUGGGCGGAAGCCUGAUGCAGCGACGUCGCGUGAGGGAUGGAGGCCUUCGGGUUGUGAACCUCUUUCGCCGGUGAAGAAGGUCCUGCUCUUUGUGGUGGGGUUGACGGUAGCCGGGUUAUGAAGCGCCGGCUAACUACGUG
rnacentral:rRNA from 1 species